CAACGCUAUAUUCGCCCACAACUUCAGUUCGGUCAACUUCGUCAUUUAGUGGUGACCGAAACUUCGAUGUGUGUGGUAGUGAAGUUAACUUUUCUAACAUAGUAUUCUCACAAAAUAACAAUAACCAAUUACUAAAGUACAAUUACCAUUUGAACGUGUUCUUUACAAACAUUUUAACGUGUCAUAAGUUGUAUAAAUUGUAAUCAAAAUGUGUGAUAAUACCAAUCCUUCGACACAAAGUAUAGCGGACUACUUAGCUCAGUUGCUCAAAGACAGGAAGCAACUGGCUGCCUUCCCGAAUGUUUUCAUGCACAUGGAGAGACUUCUGGACGAAGAAAUAGCAAAAGUGCGAGCAAGCUUAUUCCAGAUAAAUGGAGUCAAGAAAGAACCUUUAGUGCUACCUGAAGCAGAUGGCAUGGUCACCACACUCACAGAAAAAGUAUAUGUACCAGUCAAGGAACAUCCAGAUUUCAACUUUGUGGGGAGGAUUCUCGGACCCAGAGGCAUGACUGCAAAACAGUUGGAACAAGAAACCGGAUGCAAAAUCAUGGUCAGGGGCAAAGGAUCUAUGAGGGACAAGAAAAAGGAGGAUGCAAACAGGGGGAAACCAAAUUGGGAGCAUCUGGCCGACGAUUUACACGUACUGCUCACAGUUGAGGACACCGAGAAUCGGGCGAAGAUCAAGUUGGCCAGAGCCGUUGAAGAAGUUAAACGCCUUCUUAUUCCACAAGCAGAUGGCGAGGAUGAGCUAAAGAAACGCCAGUUAAUGGAGCUGGCCAUCAUAAAUGGCACGUACCGCGACUCGAGCGCGAAAGCCGUCGUGCCCGUCAACGGUCAGUGCCUAAUAACCAUUGAUAAUGAAGGGGACUUCACAGCUGAUGAAGAAUGGAGACGCGUGGCCGCUGAGACCCAACGGCUUCUAGCACCGGGGGGUGGAGUGGCUGGGGUUGGGAGCGUAGCUCUACGCACCUCUGCGCCAUUGGGGGCGCCGCUGAUACUGUCCCCGCGCAUGUCGGGGGCACCGGGGACCCAGGCCGGGCUCCUCAACGGCACAGGGGGCGCCGCAGCCGGGCUCCUGUCCCCCGGGGAGCCAGGUCACCAGCUGAUCUACGCGUCCCCGUACGCUGAGUACGCGAACUACGCAGCGCUGACCGCCAACCCGCUGUUGACCGAGGCGUACGCCGCUGCUGACCAUACGGCGUCGAGAUACCUACUUGCUGGCUUUUGACAUUGGCCACAAUUGCAGACCACAAUAAGAUACGGCAGGCUUCCAACUUCAUCGUUUCGGCCAUCGCAUCAUUAUUAGGGCCCAGCAUUUUGUAGGAAAAAAAAAUAACCUUGUCACAGAAACUCCAUAAACUUUACUAUGCAAUCGAUUGUGUACCAUUUAUGCUUUCAUUCUCCUCAGAUCAAACUAUUAAGUAUUGCACAAACUGCAGCGAAUUAAAUUAUAGAUAUGAACUGUCCGAGAAGCAAGGCAACGUUUGGCAUACCUACUGUCAGUUAUACUGAUUUUGGAGUAGCAUAAAGUAAUAUGUGGAUAGGUAUUACAUAGCUGUACCUAGUAAUAUUUUUCCCUAGUGCUGAUGAUUGAAGGGGUUAAUAUUGAAAACAUUUGUUUUAUAAUUCAUACAUAGAUGGUGCCACUUACUUUGACAGCCUUAUUUCGGAAUAAUCUAGAGAUGAUAUUUUAACUCAGUACAAGUUCGUAUAGAUUUUUGGAGUUUACUCCUUAAGAAUCGAUUUUUAGUACCUAUAUAGCCAGCCCCUAAUAUGAAAAAAAUGGGCAGUAAAAUUCGAUGAACGUAUGACAGCGUUACGUUUUUUGUGCGCAACCUAUUCUGCGCACCUAUCACUUUUUAGGCGUUGUAUUAUAGUGUAUGCUGCGGGGUAACAUACACCUAUUUAGACAGUCGAUCUGAAAGAGUAAACUCCAUCCGUGCGUCGGAGCUGACACAAACUUUUUUUUUUAAAUUUACAAGGGUAAGAAAUCAAUAUGGCGGACAGUGGGUAUGCUGAAAGUUACCAUGCCAUUUAUAAUAAUUAUUAAUUCUCUUUGUCAAGGUUAUUUUCACACGUGCUGGGUCUACCGUCCCUGACAGAUUCUCAAACGCCUCUUCUAAAGUCAUAAGAACCAUUAACGUAGUUUAAGUAUUAAAUUAAGAACGAUUUAGUUUAGUAACUCGAACAUUAUUGUGCCUACGUUAUGUUUUUAGUAAAAGAAAAACAUUUGUUUUUUUUUUCUCUUAAACCGUUUUGUACAGUAACACAAAGUAUAUUUUGUUUCCGAACGAACAAAGAUUAUUAUUAUUUAUUAAUUAUUAUCAUUAUUUACAUGAAUUAUUUUAAUUUAUGAUAUUAUAUUUAUUGCGAAUUUUAUUUUACCGUUGUACGCGUUACAGUGUUUUUAUAGAAGCAGUUGACGAUUCGAAUAGAAAAAGUUAUUCUAGUUAAACGUAUUUGCGACUGCCAGUAGAUUGCUUUAGUUACCGAUCUUUCGUAUACAUUUAGGUUUCGAAUUAUAAUUAUUAUUAUAUGAUUAUGUUACACUACCAACACUUUAUUGUGCAGUGGCGUGCACUAGAGAUGGACUAGGGCAGGCACGAACUAAACAGAUGAAAAAAAUAAAAAAAUAUUUUCGUCAAUAGUUCGUAAUGAGUGUAGAAAGUAUGCAGUGCAUUUGUGCAUAUGUGAAGUGCACGUCACUGUUGCAGUGGCAUUGAACAAAUACACCAUUUUCUAUUGUGAUAACCCUCGCUUGUAAUACCACUAAUCCAUUAACAAUGUAAAAGUGUUCACAUGUAGGAUCGUCACAUAAAAUAACUACAUACCUGUAAUAUUUACACAAACUACAUGCAUGUUUUAAGAUCUGUUGAGGUGUUCUGUAAAUAAAUUGUUGUGUUUCGACAGUGAAUGUUUCGAACGUAGACAGAGUAAGAAAUAGACGAUUGAUUGGCAUGCCGCUAUCAGCCAAAAGAUAUUUGAUUUUGACGUGAUUUUCACGCUGUCAACGCACUAAAUUAUUUUUUUACUAUUUUAUAUUUUAACCUAACUGUACUUAUAAUAAUUGCAAGAUUUUAGGUUGUAACCUUGUGCUCAACUACUUAUGUUUUUUAAUAAAAGCAUAAAUAUCUAUUACUGAAUGACUAUUUUCAAACUCGUUUGAUUUGUUUAUUAUAUGGUCUGAAAAUACAGCAUCAUGGUAUAAAAUAUCGAAGCGCCUUGUCUCGAUAAUUUACAGAGUCCACGCAUAAGUUGCUCUUUUUUUUGAGGAAAUCUUCUAUUACGUCUAUUGCUUUAACUGUCUACGAUUUUAAAUAAUAUAUGACUCUCUGUCUCUUUAGUACGCUGUUAGAUAAAAAUAGACGCAAAUUAGUUUAGGACAUUGUCGAGUUAACAAUUUUUACAGAGCAGCUAGACAGAACCUUAUUAGAUUUCCCAGUAUGUGAUUAACAUAGUGUUUUUCAUUUUUUAAUUAACACUUAAAUUUACUGAAUGACAAUAUAAUUCAGACAAACAAUCCAGUGAUUACAAGCAAAAGGGACCAAAUAAAAAAACGUAUUUUUACAAACAUAAAACACAAACGUAAUAUUUUUAACGAUUAACAACACUGACUACUAAAAAUAUUACAAACAUUUUAAUGGUAGACAUGGAAAAACAACAUUCUAUAUUACAAGUUUUCUACCUUAUAAUAAUAACGUAACAUUUUAUAUAAUCACCCGAACGAAAAUGUUAUAUUAUUGUUAUAAUAUUAUGUCGUAAUUUAUUAAUUUAUUAGCCAUAUUAUUAUUAUAUUUAUGAACAUACCAUAGGAUUAAGUAUUAUUUUUAUCUUUUAAAGAUUUUUAGAUAGUUUAGUAAAGAGUGAGCUUUAUGAAAAAAAUAAUAAUAAACAGCCGUUUAUUAUAGGUAUUCUUAUAUUCACAAAUUUUAUUUUUUUCCAAGGUUUAUAUAAAACAGACUUGCAUUGUACCUUGAACGGGUAUAUCGAUACCUGACAUAUUAAUGUUUUACUUUUUCCAAAGCAAUACAAUUUAUUAUAGAGUAAAUUCUAGGCAUAGAUAAGCAUUAUAGUAGAAAUUAGUCGUACUGCCAAAAGUAAUUGUCGUUUAAUUUAAAAUAACACGAAACCACGUUGGCAGUAUUUAUUUUAUUUUAGAUAUAUUACACUGUAUGCAAAUUAAAAGAUGUCAAGAGAUCUAUAAUAAAUUUAAUGAGAUUAAAUUUCUUUUCAGCAUUUAUUUUUAAGGGCUACCCAGGUUGUUCGAUUUUUUUUUAAUUGAACUAUCUCUUCAUUCCUUGAACACGUUACUAACAAAAAUUUUUAAUGAUUUGUUUAGAUGAAACAAUGAACCCUGGGCAUGCCAUUCGAUGUCUAUUGGUUGAGUUGUCAACGCUCUAUUCAGACACAGAUGAUAAAUGUCCUAUGCCGCUAGGUCUCGUGCGGAGAGCGGGUCGGCUGGCGCAAGUGAGGGAGCACCCUUACCAGCGCACUGCCUUACCGGCGCCUUAAUUCGCGCGAAAACACUCUCACGCCGCCAUUUUGUUUACAAGGUGCGUGACGGCGCCGAGGCACUAACCGGAGACGGCGCCCCCGCACCGGACCUUUCUCGCCGCGUAACAUUAUCAUCGGAACAUCGACCACCAUGUACUCGUAGCUAUAGCUGUUGGGCCUUUCACGUUUAACAUGUACUAUGUAUUUUAAUAGUCUAACUAUUAACAUUUAUAUGCCUGUUAUGUUUAUAACAAGAUGAUCUUUAUUAACAAUUUUAUAUUAUUUUUUUUAUAGUGGCACACGCCAUCGACUAUAUUUACUGUAUUGUAAUGUACUUCUGUUGUCGCUUGACGUUGUUGUUGGAGCACGAGUGUUGUUAGGUUACCCUACCUACCGCGGCGCUAAAUUUAUUUUAAAUAUCUCUAGUUUAGUUAUUUAUUAGAUCUAGUUUAUAUAGUUUCUCGAAAUAUUUAAAAAUAUCAAUUAUUAUUAUUAUUAUAUCGUUAAUCAAAUUUGGCGCCGUUAUUUACAAACGUUGAGAGAUAUUGUUUGAAUUAUCAAAAGUCUAAAAUUAUCCUUGACAUUGACUCAAUUUGGUAGACUUGAAUCACUUUGGUAAGACGUAUAUUUAGCUGACUGCUAUCUGAGUGCAUGAUUAUUAUUUGUAGCUCAGGAUGAUGGUAAGUUCUUUAUUAAUAGUAAUCGUACAGUUUUACACGAAUUGUAUAAUGAGUAUAGUACAAACUACGUAGACGGAUACGGAGAUGAGAAGAAACAUGGCGUCUCCAUAAUAAUCAUGAGUUUAUGGCAGAAUAGCGGUAACUAAAUGUAAGUAUGAAUAACAGAUUGUAAGAUUUUAGCUUAACUAUAAAUCUACUUAUAUGGUCGAGUGAUAGUUAUAUGAUUUAUUUUCAUUUACUCAACAAUUGUUCAGUUUUGGCUACACUUUAACUUUAUGCCAAAGAGUCAUAACUUAUUUGUAAUGUAUGACUUAAACUUAAUGUCUUCCCUAUAUUAUAUUGUUAUUCUAUCCAUAUUACAAAUCAUUUAUAAAAAAUAAAGUUAGCUCUUGAUUCGGAUAGUGUAAUAAUAUCCACACAAUAUCAUAUUGAUGAGUAAAUGAUAAUAACGAUAGUUUUUUUUUUACUUUUAGUUGAUAUUAUAAUAUUUAAAAGUAAUCAUUAUAUUUUAUACUUUAUAGUGCUUAAUUUACAUAACAAAUCAAAUUAUGCACAUCCCAAGUGCCUUAAAUAAUGUACAAUGUUUUUACUUUUUUGGUUCUAUAGAAACUGUUAAUAUUGCUUAUAGUUGAUAUUAGCUUUUUGUUAACUUUGCUAUGUUAUUAUUGAUAUCUAAUUCAUCAAUCGUCAAUGAAGUAACUCGUUAUAGUUUAUUUGCGUUAUAGAUAUGACCAAUAUAGUCCAGAAAAAUUAGCCAAAGAGUCGUAAUCAUAAUGAGAGAAUCUGCUACAAAUUCAUGUAAACCUUUAAAAUUCGACUCAAGUCUCAUUAUCGCGUUUUAAGAUGUUGCAAAGAUCCGGUUUUUUGGCAAAUAACUUUGAAAAAAUUUUGAGCACAAUCUUUACAAUUGUUAGUAUAAAUUAAUUUUUCAGCGCUUGACCAUUGUUGAACUAUGAAAACCUGUUAAAACUGUUAAUUGAAGUGAACAAAAGUAACGCAAAUUAACUAUUACCUUAUAUUUUAUACGAGAUUGCUUAGUUUUCAAGAGCAUAUUUUCAUAAGCCUUCGUUGUAAUCUCUCGAGAGAAUCUCUGACAAGCUGAAUAUUUAAUAAUCUUGCAAUUUCAUCAAUUUGAUUUUUAUAAGCGUUAUGAAAUUUAUACCUUUAAUGAGAUAUAUUUUUACAUGAAUAUUUCGAAUCACCAAUCCGAUGUUUUUUACAAGAUGUCCCUAUUUAAUAUGAAAUUUUAGAUUAGGUAUAUUGAUUUAAUAAGUCCUAUUCGGGAAAAUUAAUACACUACGAAUAAGUUGGUAUUGUACAAAAAUAAUUAUCAAGAGAAAUAUCCUCGAAUAGUUCGCUUUUCUAUAGCUACAAAAGAAAAUGGACUUUACAUAUACCUACUACACAAAAUAUAAAAAUACAAUUCUAUAUCAUUCAGUCCUUUAAGCUUAAAAUAGCUGCGAUUGUCAAUCUUAUAAAAAAAUCCUUUACGUAAUUGAGUUAUUUUGUAAUUUUUUAUGUCGAAACCUUUUAAUCAGUGGUGUAACUAUACCAUCAAAGUCCCAAUGAGCAUUCAUUGUGCUCCUAAAAUUAGCAUCUUUUUAUUUUAGAUAUUUCUGAGUCCGUGGUAUUUUACCAGACCUGUCACGUUAUCACUACCUUCACCACUGUUAUUAAGAGAAAAUGCUUUUUGAUUGGCAAAAAUAUACUGAUACAUAUUAAAUUACUAGAACUCGAAAUCAAUAUUGCAAUCGACCUCUGGGGCAAUUAUUUUCUUAUAUUAUAUCAUGUAGUUAUAUAAUUGUUAUGUACAUAGCUUAUAUAAUAUUAUAGUACUGUUAAAAGCAAUAAUACGUCAAUAAUAUACUAUAAAUUAACGCUAGUGCAAUAGAUGUUAUUUGAAAUUGAUAUUUUAUAGAAAAUUCUCAAUAUAUAAAUGUUUGAGUGAAAAUAAUAAUAAUUAUAACAGUUCAGCGAGAUCUGAUGUUGAGAUUAAUGAUUAUAAGGAACCUUUAGAAAUAUCAUAUACCUAAUAUAACUUUAACAACAAAAAAUAUUAACAAGUAUUUCGGGCCGAAGUAAUUAUUAUGGCAUAAUUAAAUACAAAAAUAUACUUUAGGGCCAAAUUGAAAUUGUAGCUAAAUUGUUAUUCUAUUAAGUGACGAUUUCAAUAGCUCUGUCUAAUAUGAGUUACUGAUUAUCUUCCUCUGUUAUUUACCCCAAUUUGUUCGUUUUCCUAAUUUUGCCAGGCUGCUUUUUGACGUGACAACGUCUUAUAAUUCGAUGGAGGCGGCUGCACACUCCAAAAAAGAUGGCGUCAUGCGUCAUUCCCUCGCCAACUUUUCUAGGGUUGCCAACUUUUUUUACAAGAAAUAAAGUAAAUUCUGGUCUAUGAAGAUUAUUAAACAGUAUUUUAAAAAAACUAACAUUUUCCUUAGAAAAAUGCAACCAUUCCAUCAGUACCUUUUUAUGACGUUGUCACGUUCAACUAUCGUCAGCAAACCGACUUUACAGACAACCGAUUUUUUUACUGUCAUUAAUUACUUUGCCCGUAUUAUUAACAUUAAAGUUUAUUAAGAUUUAUAUAAGCUAAAUUUAGAAGAUAUAUUUUUAUUGUAUAACAUAAAACAAUGAAUUCCGGAAUGAGCUAACUUUUAUAAAAAUUGAACAUUUUUAGAUUUUUCUUAAAUACAUAUUUAAAAAAAUCAUAUGAAUUCGAUUACUGUAAAAACUAAACAUAAAUUCAAAUUUUAUUUAAAUUUUACAAACCUUGAAGUUGUUAACACACUCCGUCCAUGAUUACUUCAUUAUUUAAGUACUUAAUACGAUGGUCUCUUGUUCAUGUGACCGUAAAAUAUCAAUGUAACAUUUGUGUUAACAUUUGAAUCUUAAUAUUUAAUAUCUUCUUUAGAAAUACAUAUUAUGGAUUGGCUUUUUUAAUCAUUAAAAUGAAAUUAAGAAAAUAUUAUACUAGGCUAAGAUUAAACUUUUCUACUUUUUUCACUAUUUCAGAAAUAAAAUUAAAUGUUUUAUUUAGAACACCUUGUUGUUAUAAAAUAAUGUUAAUUGUAUUUUUUAAAAAUUAUUAUUCUAAUUUACCAAUCCUUUUUUUUUUUGGAAAAUCUCAAUGUAAAUUGCUAGAACUACACCCAAAUAAGUAAUUUAUUAUUUAUGAUCUGAUUUUUUUCUCAAACAGUCACCAUACUAUAUUUAUGGUGCUAGAUUGAUUGUUUAAUAGCUAUAAAAAAUCAUUAAAAAGGAGCAAAAUAUGAACUACCCGUUCCAAGUGGCUAUUAUUUUUUUAAUAAAAAAAAAAUAUAAAACCCAAAAAAAAAUGUAAAUUAAUUUAUAAGUCCGUUUUCUAAUUAUUAUUAUCUGUAUAUUGUACAAAACUGAAUAAUAAGAUAAAAGCAUUUACAAAAUAUUUUGAGGCCAUAGUUUUGAAUGAAAAUUCAAUGUCGUGGUCAAACCAGGAGGUUAAUUGCGCAACGUAUUCGAAAUUAAAUUAAAUUUUCGGUCCUUGCAUUCAUUUCCUGUAAUUGUAAUAGGGAACUUAUAUUUAUAUACAAAAUUAUAAUUAGUUAACGUUGAUUGCAAGUGCGUUGUGAAUUAAACCACAAAGUAUCAAUAGUAUAUUGUGAUUAAAAAGUUAAUAUCGUACAAAGAUAAUGAGGGUCUGUUGCCUGUUAAUAGUUAUUUUACGUUGUUUCAAAACGAAUUCGUGAAACAAUAGACAAAUUUGUGAACUGCUAAAAUUCAAGAUGGCUGCCAAUUUUAAAUUCCAAAAUAUCAUCAAUUUCCGAGAAUGUUUUGUUCAUGUGAAUAUUUUUUUCUAAAUGAUUUGUUAAAUUUUGAUAAUCUGAAGAAAUAUAAUUAGGCGUCAUUUGGAAAUUCAAGUUUAUUUUUGGUAUAUUUGAAGUAGGCACUUUGGUUGUGCCCAUACUAAAAUUCUUAAUAUUUCCUAUGCCACUCUGGUUUACGAGUAUAUAUUUAGUUAAAGACGAUACGCAUUAAUUUCUUGUCUAGCAGCAGCUAUCUGUUACGAUUCGUGUUAUUUGUGAUCUAAUUGCUGUAGUUUCUCAGUCAUAGAUUAAAAAUGCAGUUCAUCUAUAUUGUUUAUGUUUGAAACAUUUUUGUGCCAUCAACAAACGGACUUUCAUUUUAUAUUUUUAUUUGUACUUAUACUUAAAUUGUGGCAAAUCACACAAGUGCCUUAAAAUUAACUUUGUAAAUAUUUAUAUGAUAUUAUAAUUUUUUUUUUCAAAGUAUUAUAUAAAUAAAGGAGAAUGAAUUAUUACAAUUGUUUUCCAAAAACAAAAUAGAGUAUAUUUAAUUAAAUGAUUUAGUUAAGUGAGAUUGUGCAUAUUACUUAUGUCUGUUUUGAUGUGUGUUUAAGAUUGAUUUGGCAUUAGUAAAUAUAUUAUUUAGAAAAUGUAA